rnacentral:rRNA from 1 species
GAUGAACGCUGGCGGCGUGCCUAAUACAUGCAAGUCGAGCGAACAGACGAGGAGCUUGCUCCUCUGACGUUAGCGGUGGACGGGUGAGUAACACGUGGAUAACCUACCUAUAAGACUGGGAUAACUUCGGGAAACCGGAGCUAAUACCGGAUAACAUGUUGAACCGCAUGGUACAACAGUGAAAGACGGUCUUGCUGUCACUUAUAGAUGGAUCCGCGCCGCAUUAGCUAGUUGGUAAGGUAACGGCUUACCAAGGCAACGAUGCGUAGCCGACCUGAGAGGGUGAUCAGCCACACUGGAACUGAGACACGGUCCAGACUCCUACGGGGGGCAGCAGUAGGGAAUCUUCCGCAAUGGGCGAAAGCCUGACGGAGCAACGCCGCGUGAGUGAAGAAGGUCUUCGGAUCGUAAAACUCUGUUAUUAGGGAAGAACAAAUGUGUAAGUAACUAUGCACGUCUUGACGGUACCUAAUCAGAAAGCCACGGCUAACUACGUGCCAGCAGCCGCCGCAG